UAUCACUCUCAUGAAAGUUGCAGAUAGGUGGUGACAGUAGAAAAUACUCGCGAACAUGCUGAUUUCUCGCGUUGCACUUGUUAGUUUAGUAUCUUGUCUCAUCUUCCAAGUGGUGGCCGGGAUCCAUCAUCAUGGUGGUGGAGGCGGUGGCUUGGGAAUUCUUUUAGGAGUAGGCCUGCUGGCAAAAUUGCUUGAAGGGCAUCACCAUGCACACCAUCAUCAUCAUCACCAUCAUGUAAAAUAUGUGCCUAUUCCGGUUCAUCAUCAUGGUCAUCACGGAGGAUACAUCCUGGAUGACGAUGGUCAUCUCUAAAUAUAGCAACAGAAAAUGCCGAAAGAAGUGAAAACGCUGUGAUAUCUUUGUAAUAGCAUAAUACCAAGCUUAAAGCUGAUGUUUUAGAGGGAUCUUUUAAAUCCUCGUUUGCAACACUUGGUGCCAAACUUCGGUCAUAUAGGCCUAAUAAUAAUGUCGUAUUAAAGAGCUCAAUGAUGGUAUUUAACAAAAUGCUUAGAAAGCAUGGCAUGCCUCAUUUGGUAUACCAUCUCCAGGGUUUUAAAAAUUGUUUUCCCUUCUAUCAGAAGUGGAUGUGAGAAUUUCAUAGUCAUAGGCAGUACACAAUAUGAGGACCCUCUUUUAAUAAACUUGAUUCAUUCUCACACUUUAAUACAUUUUUAACUUGAUCAACUUGUAAAUGAGUUAUUUUAGCUUAAAUUUUAUUCCUUAUAAUAAUAUUGUGGUAAUAUGAAUAUUUUUAUCUAUCUAUCUUUUUAAAUUUUGCAUAACAUGAAGUAAUAAAGUUUUCGAAAUAACAAAUAUAAUUAAUUGUCAAUGACCUUCUUUCUUAAAAAUUAAAGCAUUUGUUUAUAGAUAGCUUAUGUAAAGUAGUAAUAAAUUUAAAAGAAAUGUAACAUUAAAAAUGAUUAAAAUACAGAAAUUAUUGAUUGGAGUGUAACACAGCUUAUUAAAUGAAUAAUUAAUAUUCCAGUAUAUUAUAAAUAGGUAAUUAAUCAUAGUUUAAAUUAAUUUUUCAAUGCAAAUUCUUAAAAAAAAUUGUUUUACAAAUUUGUCUAAUGGUUAAAAAUUUUUUAAUCAACCUUCCAUAACCGCCCCAGCAGCCUUAGAUAAUUACCUAAUUAGAAAUCUGCAACUACUUUUUAUGCACUGCAAAUAAUAAGAAGCAAUACCAAAUUUACGUAUAUGAUUCAUGUUGAUAUGCAAUUUUAGA